rnacentral:rRNA from 1 species
AUUGAACGCUGGCGGCAUGCUUUACACACGCAAGUCGAACGGUAACAGGCCGCAAGGUGCUGACGAGUGGCGAACGGGUGAGUAAUGCAUCGGAACGUGCCCAGUCGUGGGGGAUAACGCAGCGAAAGCUGUGCUAAUACCGCAUACGAUCUAUGGAUGAAAGCGGGGGACCGUAAGGCCUCGCGCGAUUGGAGCGGCCGAUGUCAGAUUAGGUAGUUGGUGGGGUAAAGGCCUACCAAGCCAACGAUCUGUAGCUGGUCUGAGAGGACGACCAGCCACACUGGGACUGAGACACGGCCCAGACUCCUACGGGAGGCAGCAGUGGAGAAUUUUGGACAAUGGGCGCAAGCCUGAUCCAGCAAUGCCGCGUGCAGGAAGAAGGCCUUCGGGUUGUAAACUGCUUUUGUACGGAACGAAACGGUCUGGGUUAAUACCCUGGACUAAUGACGGUACCGUAAGAAUAAGCACCGGCUAAAUACGUGCCAGCCGCCGCCGUAACAC